rnacentral:tRNA from 1 species
CCUGGGAUGUGGCUCAGUGGAGAGCACUUGCCUAGUGUGUACCAGGCCCUGGGUUCAAUCCCCAAUAACAGGG